UACAGAGGUCCCAAGCGUUGUUCGGAUUCACUGGGCGUAAAGGGUGCGUAGGUGGUGAGGUAAGUCGGAUGUGAAAUCUCCAGGCUCAACCUGGAAAUGGCAUUGGAAACUACCUUGCUAGAGGGUUUGAGGGGGGGACUGGAAUACUUGGUGUAGCAGUGAAAUGCGUAGAUAUCAAGUGGAACACCAGUGGCGAAGGCGAGUCCCUGGAAAAUACCUGACACUGAGGCACGAAAGCUAGGGGAGCAAACAGG
rnacentral:rRNA from 1 species